GGGUUGAAGUGUUGCAAAGCAACCUUCUAGAACUUACUGGCAUAUAGUUAUCGUAUAAUUCAUCCCUUUGACUCAAUUACUCAAUUCCAUCUUGACUCACCCACUGACUUGAUAAGUACUUGGCUGCACCUAGUAUCCUUCCGUCACUAAGUUAGAAACAUAGAUAGUCUGGUACUAAAAUACAGUGAGUUGCUUAUAAGUCACCGUGAUGGUUUU
rnacentral:lncRNA from 1 species